rfam:Triticum urartu cultivar G1812 contig195216, whole genome shotgun sequence.
UUAGUACUUCCUCCGUCUGAAAAUAGUUGUCAUCAAGAUGGAUAAAAAAUGAUGUAUCUAGAACUAAAAUACAUCUAGAUACAUCCCCUUUUAUUCAUUUUGAUGACAAAUAUUUUCGGACGAAGGGGGUAUUUU